rnacentral:rRNA from 1 species
GAUGAACGCUGGCGGCGUGCCUAACACAUGCAAGUCGAGCGAUUCUCUUCGGAGAAGAGCGGCGGACGGGUGAGUAACGCGUGGGUAACCUGCCCUGUACACACGGAUAACGUACCGAAAGGUACGCUAAUACGGGAUAAAGUUGUUGGAUGGCAUCUUCUAACAAUCAAAGCUCCGGCGGUAUAGGAUGGACCCGCGUCUGAUUAGCUAGUUGGUGAGGUAAUGGCUCACCAAGGCGACGAUCAGUAGCCGACCUGAGAGGGUGAUCGGCCACACUGGAACUGAGACACGGUCCAGACUCCUACGGGAGGCAGCAGUGGGGAAUAUUGCACAAUGGGCGAAAGCCUGAUGCAGCAACGCCGCGUGAGCGAUGAAGGUCUUCGGAUCGUAAAGCUCUGUCCUCAAGGAAGAUAAUGACGGUACUUGAGGAGGAAGCCCCGGCUAACUACGUGCCAGCAGCCGCAGUAA